UGCAGAGCGCAUAGGAGCGCAGGGCGCGACAUAGGCCACCAGAGUUCGCCCCUGGGCCCCGGACUCCACCUCCCCGGUUCCCUCCAGAAGAUCCCCCACACUUCGUAGGUUCAACGUGGAUGAUACAUACUCAGCGUUGCAGCGGAGGAUUUUGCAUUGAGAGUGAACUGCCGUGACCCCCACCCCCGGCUCCCUUUCUGGAGUUCAAAGGACUACUGCAGCCUGAGUUCCAUGGUAAGUUUCCAGCAUCAGGACUCGCUGGAAGGGCAGAGAAUUUCCUCAGGUUUUCUUUCGAAGCCACGCAGCUCCAGGCAGGCGAGAGCUUGACGGGAGAGCUCGGAGCUCUGGAGCAAAAACUUCGCUUUGGUGUAACUCUGAGCUAGAAAAUACAGAUCUAAUACAUAUAUGAACAAGGAAAUCCUGCUGUAUUCGUGCUACCAGAAUGAUAUAAGAUAAGGACUGGCCGACUUCCCUGGUGGUCUAGUGGUUAGGAUUCGGCGCUCUCACCGCCGCGGCCCGGGUUCGAUUCCCGGUCAGGGAAACUGCUUUUUAAGUAACUUUUCUACCUCAAAAGCCUGUCUGCAUUGAACGAGGGAGAUUAGGUACAGGGAGUAUUUUCUUCAACGUGCGGUGCUGAACACAGGAGGCUAGCAACAAAGUUUCCAAGAUAGUAGUUUGGGUGAACGCUGCCAGAAGGAAUGACAGAAAAUUGAGUAGUCUCAAUUUCUGGCAAAACACCGAUUACGGCCUUAGUGUACCCUGAUACUUCAAUCUUGUGGGGGGAACCCAAACCAUAACCCGCUGGGCAAUGUGAGAUACUGGAGAAGACAGGCAGAUCACAUGCAGGAAAAUAUCUUUUUUCAUUCUUUCCGGAGUUACAGAAGCAAUAGGGGCCGGAGGAGAAGAAGCUUUGGACACCCUGGGCAACACCUGCCGGACUCCCGAGGAAAGAAGUGUCUCUGAGAGAAGCCUGAGAAAGAGGAUGCUGAGGUAAACUGAAGAAGCUAUUUCAUGCGUAAUUAUAUCCUGUUAAGGGCCACGUAGCCUUCCUCGGAAUGACGUGUCCAUUGGUAAUAUCCUGUUCUGCGAGGUCCAGCCCCAGGGGCGGGGUAGAGGAGCCAUGACUGUGUGUGACAUAUCAUUCAAGAGGCGGCAGAGCUGUGGGCUUCUGUCAAGUCUCCGUUAACUGCAGCACAGUAUCACGUGGCUGUUCUCUCCCGCCCUGAAGGCGGUACCAAGCGAACUGGAUAAAAGGUCUCACUCUUCCUCUCCCGCUCUUUUUCUCGUUCUUGCUCCCGCUCGCCUUCUCCAUGAUCAAUCCCUAAUAAACUGGUUGAACACCUUCCACUCGACUCGUCCUUUCGUGUAUCCGGGUAGGCUCUGAAGUGAAAACUUUGAUAAACCUGUCCGGAUACCGGAGAAAGAUGUCAGAGCAUGUAUAACAACUCACAGCUCGAAUGCAAAGUAUGAGGAUUCUGGGAAAGCGCAGAAGGAGCCAAUCUACAGUGACAGUCGCCUUCCCACAUGGGGUCCAGUGAAAGCUCCCUCUCAUCGAGCUAUGGAAGACUCCUGAACUUGUAUUUUUAACAAUAGUAGCUUU